rnacentral:lncRNA from 1 species
CAGUACAACCAAACUGACAUAAUUCUCCACUAACUACAAAAUUGUUCAGUAUCCAUGAAACAUUGUGGGUUACAAUCAAAGUUCAUUACAACAGUACACUCUAUUUCCUCUUUCGUUCCACUUUAGUUCUCUCAUUUUUUGGCGGUGGACCCCUCCUCCUUGAAAGCCUGCCUGUAACCUCGCUCUCACUGAUUGAACUAUCAUUUAGCUUCUUUGUGGCGUAGUCCCACAACAGAGCUCCAUAGCGUCUACGGUGUUUGUUAAUAUCAUUAAGAUCCUCCUUUGGUAUAGACAAAUCACCAUUGCUAAUAUAUUCCGCAAAUACAGCCACAAAUACACCGCAAUCCCUGCAGAUUAUGAGUAAUUUUAAUUAAAUACCAAAAAACAAAUAAAUUUUAAUUAAACAUAUAGAAAGGGAGUUUAGUUUUUUAC